rnacentral:tRNA from 1 species
GCCUGGGUGGCUCAGUCGGUUGAGCAUCCGACUUCGGCUCAGGUCAUGAUCUGGUGGUCCAGUCCGUGGAUUCGAGCCCCAUGUCAGGCU